GAGAGAUGUGUACAUGGCGUAAUAUUGCUCCGGCUCAGCUUGGUUUUCUCAGUUUUACAUUGUCAGUUGUUUUGGAGCUGAGCCGAACCAAUAUUACUCUUGUAUGCUUUCUC
rnacentral:pre_miRNA from 1 species